CCCUGCGAGUGUGUGUGUGCGUUUUGUGUUCCAAAAGAAAUUUUGUGUGUGAAAAUUUGGCGACGAAAAAUUGGGAUUUUGAUUAAAUUUUCGCAUAGAAAAAUAGAAAUAUGUGUAGAAAACUAUUAUAUUCGGCGAAAGGAACAUAUAUGUGUUAAAAAAAAGUGUGAAAUGGUGAAAUGAAGCAUCAAAUCUAACCGAGUGGUUAACUCGACUGCUCUGCCUAGCAUUGUCAGGGGAUUUGGUUCAUAUAACUUUCGGUGGUAAAAUUGAAUAAUUUCCUCAGCAAAGACUAAUUUAAAAUCCACAAUCAGUUCUGAUUUUCAGUAAGGAAAAAGUAUAUGUAUCUCUACAAUUCGUAUUUAUCCAAAAGUAAUAUUGUGUGAAGUUACAUACAUAUUUUAGUAAUGAGACUCCACUGGCCAUAGAAUUGGGAAGGGGCGCUUGGAACUUAGAAGUGAAUUUUAAUGUGAAAGAAAGCAAAAGUGGUGGAAGCAUAGAAAAAGCAGAAAAAAGACUGGUUAUGCAGCGAAAAGAAGACAACAAAAGGCGAAGAACUUGUGCUAACAACAACAAUAAACACAACGUAAACAAGAACAAAGUUUGAUUAGGGCGAAUUGAAAUGUUAAAGCACGAUUGAUAAUAGGAAAAGGUGUGAAAGAAAAGCAAACGAAAAAGAACUUGAAAGAAAAUCGAAAAGACGAGCAGCUGGUGGCUCAGUCUUCACUGCUGCUGCUCUGCUUUUUGAACUGGUUGUUGGAGUCUACAACAGCGCUGCUUUGUGUCAUCGUCGACGCACUCACGACCAGCGUUAUUGAACCCAUCCGUAUCGUUGGUUUCUGUUGAGUUGGGCUGUUGCGGUUAUUACUCGCUGCCUGCAAUCCCGUUUGGUCGGUUCUCGUUUUGUUUUGCAUCAACCUUCGUGUUAUUGUCGUCCCUUGCUCAGAGUUUAGGUGGGGGGCCAGUCGAAUAACCAAAAAGGAAAUCAAAUACCCCCAACAUUAGUGAAAGGCCGCGCAGACAUCGAGGACGUGCUUGUAAAUUUGCAUCAACAACGGGCUCGUUUAUGGAGCUCAUCGUCUGGGACUUGAAAACAAAAGAAUAGCAAAUAAGUGUAGAAAGACUAAAUAAUUAAUACCGUGGUGGUCUGUCAGUAUCGUCGCCGAAGUUGUACGGGAUUUCUUGUCGUGAGUAGAAUUUCGCCUUUACUAAUGGUUUUACGCGAAGACACAUGCGCACACACACAAAAAUGCAUACAUUCAUCAACUAACACAUAAUCGUACGAAAAAGUUAAAUCAUCCGUCGUGUCGCGUACAAAAAAAAAAA